GGGUCUUUAGCUCAGUGGCAGAGCAUUUGACUGUAGAUUAAGAGGUCACCGGUUCAAACCCAGUAGGGCCCU
rfam:Ipomoea nil DNA, scaffold: scaffold0878, cultivar: Tokyo-kokei standard.